rnacentral:rRNA from 1 species
CUUGGUGUGAAUUGCAGAAUCCCGUGAACCAUCGAGUCUUUGAACGCAAGUUGCGCCCGAAGCCAUUAGGCCCAGGGCACGUCUGCCUGGGCGUCACGC